rnacentral:rRNA from 1 species
GAUGAACGCUAGCGGCAGGCCUAAUACAUGCAAGUCGGACGGGAUUGGGGAGCUUGCUUCUCAUGAGAGUGGCGCACGGGUGCGUAACACGUAUGUAACCUACCUUAAUCAGGGGGAUAGCCUCUCGAAAGAGAGAUUAACACCGCAUAACAUGAUGAGAUAGCAUUAUUUUAUCAUCAAAUAUUUAUAGGAUUAAGAUGGGCAUGCGGGACAUUAGCUAGUUGGCGGGGUAACGGCCCACCAAGGCGACGAUGUCUAGGGGAUCUGAGAGGAUGGCCCCCCACACUGGUACUGAGACACGGACCAGACUCCUACGGGAGGCAGCAGUAAGGAAUAUUGGUCAAUGGGCGCAAGCCUGAACCAGCCAUGCCGCGUGCAGGAAGACGGCCCUACGGGUUGUAAACUGCUUUUGUACGGGAAUAAACCUUGAUACGUGUAUCAAGCUGAAUGUACUGUAAGAAUAAGGAUCGGCUAACUCCGUGCCAGCCGCCGCCGUAA